rnacentral:rRNA from 1 species
AGUGAACGCUGGCGGUAGGCCUAACACAUGCAAGUCGAACGGCAGCACAGUAAGAGCUUGCUCUUACGGGUGGCGAGUGGCGGACGGGUGAGGAAUACAUCGGAAUCUACUUUUUCGUGGGGGAUAACGUAGGGAAACUUACGCUAAUACCGCAUACGAUCUACGGGUGAAAGCAGGGGAUCUUCGGACUUUGCGCGAUUGAAUGAGCCGAUGUCGGAUUAGCUAGUUGGCGGGGUAAAGGCCCACCAAGGCGACGAUCCGUAGCUGGUCUGAGAGGAUGAUCAGCCACACUGGAACUGAGACACGGUCCAGACUCCUACGGGAGGCAGCAGUGGGGAAUAUUGGACAAUGGGCGCAAGCCUGAUCCAGCCAUACCGCGUGGGUGAAGAAGGCCUUCGGGUUGUAAAGCCCUUUUGUUGGGAAAGAAAAGCAGCAGGUUAAUACCCCGCUGUUCUGACGGUACCCAAAGAAUAAGCACCGGCUAACUUCGUG